UAUUGAGCGGAUGGCAAGCUGAUUUGAUGGCAAUCGUUAUCUAACGUAUGUGCAGUGUGGGAAUUAAUCAACUAAGCUUUAUGGAAGAGGUAAUCCCUGGCGACACCAUGAAAUCAUAAAUGAUAAUUAUGGCUUUUAAUAAAAUUUGUUAAUUCUUAAACCUUUUCAACCCAAUUCCAGUUGACAGAAUAAGGUUGAAUAAAACUUUACUGAAAGGACUUUUCAAUUAGCAAAACAACGAAUGCAAAUCAGUUCAAUUGUUGCCGUUUCUCACAGUGUUACUUCGCAUUGACGAGCAGAGUUUAUAAAUAUCAGGCCAUGUGACAUCCAUGUUAAAUUAUACCGACCUCUCACUUAUGGCCAUCAAAUUUGUGAAUGGCUCUUAAAACAAUCCCUCGGUCAUAUUCGAAACAGAAAUUCACUUCCAGCGAGAAGAACACUUGCUACUUUCCAGGAACAUAUAAAGACAGGGAACCAGACAUAAAAUCGCAAGAAAUGUGAAUAUAUAGAUCGUAUGUGUGGGGAUGUGGGUGUGCGUGGGUGCAUAAAAAGUAACGCAGAAAUAAAAAUAAC